AUGCAUGUCUAUGCACAAGCCGAAUAUGGUGAAGCCGCGAAUGGCUCAUUACAACAGCCACUGUUUACUUGAUCUUGAUUAUCCUACUGGAUAACUGUGGUAAUUCUAGAGCUAAUACACGCAAUAAAGCUCCGACCUUACGGGACGAGCGCAUUUAUUAGACCAAAACCAAUCGGGCUUCGGCCUGAACGGUGGUGACUCUGAAUAACUGAGCUGAUCGCAUGGUCUUUGUACCGGCGACGCAUCUUUCAAGUGUCUGCCUUAUCAACUUUCGAUGGUAGUUUAUGUGCCUACCAUGGUUGUUACGGGUAACGGAGAAUAAGGGUUCGACUCCGGAGAGGGAGCCUGAGAAACGGCUACCACA
rnacentral:rRNA from 3 species